ACUGGGACCGAGACACGGCCCAGACUCCUACGGGAGGCAGCAGUGGGGAAUUUUCCGCAAUGGGCGCAAGCCUGACGGAGCAAUACCGCGUGAGGGAGGAAGGCCUUUGGGUUGUAAACCUCUUUUCUUAAGGAAGAAGAUCUGACGGUACUUAAGGAAUCAGCAUCGGCUAACUCCGUGCCAGCAGCCGCGGUAAUACGGAGGAUGCAAGCGUUAUCCGGAAUUAUUGGGCGUAAAGCGUCCGCAGGCGGCAUUAUAAGUCUGCUGUCAAAGACCGCAGCUCAACUGCGGAAAGGCAGUGGAAACUGUAAAGCUAGAGUACGGUAGGGGUAGAGGGAAUUCCCAGUGUAGCGGUGAAAUGCGUAGAUAUUGGGAAGAACACCAGUGGCGAAAGCGCUCUACUGGGCCGUAACUGACGCUCAGGGACGAAAGCUAGGGGAGCGAAAGGGAUUAGAUACCCCUGUAGUCCUAGCUGUAAACGAUGGAUACUAGGCGUAGCUUGUAUCGACCCGAGCUGUGCCGAAGCUAACGCGUUAAGUAUCCCGCCUGGGGAGUACGCACGCAAGUGUGAAACUCAAAGGAAUUGACGGGGGCCCGCACAAGCGGUGGAGUAUGUGGUUUAAUUCGAUGCAACGCGAAGAACCUUACCAGGGCUUGACAUGUCGCGAAUCUAGGGGAAACUUUAGAGUGCCUUCGGGAACGCGAACACAGGUGGUGCAUGGCUGUCGUCAGCUCGUG
rnacentral:rRNA from 1 species